AACGAACGCUGGCGGCGUGGAUAAGACAUGCAAGUCGAACGCUCAUUUGCCUGCAGCAAUGUGGGUGAGUGGGAGUGGCGCAAGGGUGCGUAACACGUGGGUAAUUUGCCGCGAAGUUGGGGAUAACUCGCUGAAAGGCGAGCUAAUACCGGAUGUGGUAGGCUGGUGGCAUCAUUGGCUUCACCAAAGUUGGGGACCCGCAAGGGCCUGACGCUUCGCGAUAAACCCGCGGCCUAUCAGCUAGUUGGUGAGGUAACGGCUCACCAAGGCUAAGACGGGUAGCUGGUCUGAGAGGACGACCAGCCACACUGGAACUGAGAGACGGUCCAGACACCUACGGGUGGCAGCAGUCGAGUAAUUUUUCACAAUGGGCGCAAGCCUGAUGGAGCGACGCCGCGU
rnacentral:rRNA from 1 species